ACCCUUCAGUUCACCCUACAGCUGUUGGGAUAUCCUGCUGUCCUUCAUCCUCCCAAAUGUUCUGUCCUGCAGAGCUGUGUUGCUGUGACCACGGGUUCAAGGCAAAAUUCUCCUCACUGAUUCUCAGAGUUUCCAGGGAAUUCCAUGAUUGCAGUAGAAAUAAAGUGUAACACUGGGAAAGGGAUCUGGAGAGGAAGAAGAAGACAGAGACUUUGCCCAGGUUAAGGCUACAAAUAUCAUCCCAGGCCUCGAAUCCCUUAAUCAGGAGUUCCACCAGCCAAAGACUAUGCUUGAAAAGGACACACAUCAGUCAAGCAGUGAUUAUGAAACUCCAUCUCAGAAGGAGCAAAGCACCACAGACUGACAAUUAGCCUGAAGAAGACAGAAUAUGUAUCAGCCUUUACCUGGAAAAACCUACAAAUAACUAAAGCAACACUAAAGCAAAGAGUGUAAUGACAUCAGUGAAUUUCUGGUACUGGAGCAGUGCACUUUCCAAUUAUGCAAGCCUGGGUACAACAGGUAAAAAAUCAAAUAAUGAAAGUUAGGUUGUUCUUUGAGAGAUUGCUACAGUGUGGCACUGACAGGGCAUCAAGAAUCAGACCACAGUGAAAACCUAUAGAACAAUUGAAAUGUCCAACCCUUUGAUAUGAUCUGGGUUAACCAAUUUUAUAUCAUCUAGUGUAAAUGACUAGAACACUGAACAAUCUGGUUUAUGGCAAUCGGGAACAGGGGUGACAGUCUUAGACUGGAGACUUUGAGAAAGUCAUGGCUCAAAGAGAUUGGAGCAAAAAUGGCACCAGCCACUAUGGGUAGCAAAUAUAAUUGUACAGCCAAGGGCCAGGAUUUAUGCACAAGAUAAGGAAGAGAUUGCUGUCACACAUUCGUCUUUUCAAUCCCCUUGGAUUCAGUGAAAAAAAUUCAUCAUCAGGUGGUGUCUUCAAACCCAAAGGACACUGGUCUGGUGUGUCCAGGUCUGCGGCAAAGCUUAAGGGAACGUAUUGGUCAAAGUUAUGGGCACCCAGUGUCCAUCAUAUAAUCCUCCCUCUCUUGCCUUGAGAUCUUGUCUUGAGGACAUAUAUAUAAAUAUCAAAAUUGUUUGAGGAAGCUGAGGCUAUAGCAAAGAAAGCUAGAGAUGUGAAAGAGAAAGCUGAGGCCAUGGAUGAUCGCAUGAAAAAUCAGUGUAGAACAAGGAUUAGCACUCAUGAUGAACAAUUUAGAGAAGCAGUGUGGCUCAGUGGAAAGAGCCCGGGCUUGGGAGCCAG